rnacentral:rRNA from 1 species
AUUGAACGCUGGCGGCAGGCCUAACACAUGCAAGUCGAGCGAGCGGCGGACGGGUGAGUAAUGUCUGGGAAACUGCCUGAUGGAGGGGGAUAACUACUGGAAACGGUAUCUAAUACCGCAUACCAUCAUCUGUCCCCCGAUGGGAUUAGCUAGUAGGUGGGGUAACGGCUCACCUAGGCGCCGCUCCCUAGCUGGUCUGAGAGGAUGACCAGCAACACGGGAACUGAGAACCGGGCCAGACUCCUACGGGAGGCAGCAGUGGGGAAUAUUGCACAAUGGGCGCAAGCCUGAUACAGCCAUGCCGCGUGUGUGAAGAAGGCCUUCGGGUUGUAAAGCACUUUCGGCGGGGAGGCGUUACCCGAAGAAGAAGCACCGGCUAACUCCGUGCCAGCAGCCGCGGUAAUAC